AGGUUUGGGUUUUCAUCAACUGGACGUAUUAUCUAUGUUGGGUUAUGAGGCUCGCUGCACUCAGCUAACAGUCAGCUUGGAGGGUAGCAUUAUGGUACUGGCCUGCUGCUUGGAGGGUAGCAUUAUGGUACUGGCCUGCUGCUUGGAGGGUAGCAUUAUGGUACUGGCCUGCUGCUUGGAGGGUAGCAUUAUGGUACUGGCCUGCUGCUUGGAGGGUAGCAUUAUGGUACUGGCCUGCUGCUUGGAGGGUAGCAUUAUGGUACUGGCCUGCUGCUUGGAGGGUAGCAUUAUGGUACUGGCCUGCUGCUUGGAGGGUAGCAUUAUGGUACUGGCCUGCUGCUUGGAGGGUAGCAUUAUGGUACUGGCCUGCUGCUUGGAGGGUAGCAUUAUGGU